CAAGUGACCUGAUCUGUCUGGGAGCAAUUAGGCUCUGGUGGAGGAACCUGGGGGACUUGGGGAGUGAAACCACAGGCAGGAAAGGCCUGGGAAUGACCUGAUGAGACCAAAGAAGCUAUCACCCAGGGUAAGAGGAAAAGUCAGCAAAGAUGAUGUAGCUUCUGGCUUUCUCAUUUACAGCUUAGCUGCUGGAAGAAUCUCAGAUGGAUCGUACAGCAUUGGAAAUCAGUGCCUGGGCUGCACAGACCUUGCUGGCACGGACGGUUAGAAGAGCUGGCCAGCCUCAGAAGAGCAACGCAUCAAGUAGAGAGACUCUCGCCCUGUAGCAAGCUGAUCUGGAUCCAGGGUUUGGAUCUCCCAAAGCUCAAGUGGGACUGGAUUUUUUUUUGCUUUGGGCCCAGUGCUCAUAACAGUGCAGUCCUGGAUUAGGUGAGCGCCGAGAGGUGUGGCCAGCUUGUGGAUGUGCUCCACUGUCCCCUACUGCAUGGAAUCAGAACUGUUCCGUGUGUGACUCAGCCCUUACGUUAUGCUGCUAACAACUAUAGGAGAGUCUCCUUUAACUCGAGUGGGAGGGGCUUUGGGAGCAGGAGGGGCAGAGCUCUGUCUUUGCUGUCAUUGUGCAUGCAAUUCUAAGCCGCCAUGGAAGUGCAGUGAGAGCUGUGAAAUCCUAGCUGGCCACAGCUUUUUUACAACAGUCUCAACUGUGUGUGUUACCCUUAAACCCUUGAGUCUGGCCAUACUGUUACAGCCUUUAGUGACAGUGUAACCCAUCCAACACAGCACUGACCCGCAGAAAGGACUGUAUAUAACAUAACGGGUGUGUAACAACAUUACCUAGCUCUUAUCUAGCA